UACGUAGGGUGCAAGCGUUGUCCGGAAUUAUUGGGCGUAAAGAGCGUGUAGGCGGCCAAGCAGGUCCGUUGUGAAAACUGGAGGCUUAACCUCCAGACGUCGACGGAAACCGCGUGGCUAGAGUCCGGAAGAGGAGAGUGGAAUUCCUGGUGUAGCGGUGAAAUGCGCAGAUAUCAGGAAGAACACCCGUGGCGAAGGCGGCUCUCUGGGACGUGACUGACGCUGAGACGCGAAAGCGUGGGGAGCGAACAGG
rnacentral:rRNA from 1 species